rnacentral:rRNA from 1 species
AGCUCCAAUAGCGUAUAUUUAAGUUGUUGCAGUUAAAAAGCUCGUAGUUGGAUUUCGGAUGGGGACGACCGGUCCGCCGAACGGUGUGCACUGGUCGGUCCGUCUUCCUGCCGAGGACGCGUUCCUUCCUUCGUUGGUCGGGACGCGGAGUCGGCGCAGUUACUUUGAAAAAAUUAGAGUGUUCAAAGCAGGCCACCGCU